AUGAUACCGGUAUUUGAGGAUAGUCGAGAAGAUAAAAUAAGACUGUGCGUGCGAGGAGCUCUGCAAACCGGAACCCACAGCUGGAGGCUGGGCGGAGGAGAGUUCCCACCCCUGACUACCCUUGAUAGGACACACGGUCUCCAUGAGCCCAAACCGGGCCAAGCCUUCUGCACACCGUGGAAAAUCCUUGAGGAAAGCCUUGGGCAGACAGCAGCGUGCGGCUCCAGCUAUGUUGGAAGAAGGUGUUAGGGUUUUGGUCAGGCUGCACGAAGCCUCAAUCAAGUAGCAAGUUCAAGAGCAACCUACCGGAGCAGGAAGUGGGAGUAGAAGAUGGAAUGCUAUUGAGCAGGAGCCCCUGGCUGGAACCGUGGAGAGGUGGGGUUCCUCCCCAGGACCCCCCCCCCCAGUCUCCCACCUCUGAAUGACUGAUAGCUGUUUACUCCUUGUGAUUUGACUUGAAUGCAGGCCAGACCCUCUGGCUAAGGAAGCCAAAGCAGUCCAGGUGGGCUCUUAAUCAGACUCCGGUGCUGGGGGGCGGGGAGGCUGGUCCAACCCCAGGUGGGAGGUGAGCUGGUGGCAGGGUUG
rnacentral:lncRNA from 1 species